rnacentral:rRNA from 1 species
AUUGAACGCUGGCGGCAGGCCUAACACAUGCAAGUCGAACGGUAACAGGAAGAAGCUUGCUUCUUUGCUGACGAGUGGCGGACGGGUGAGUAAUGUCUGGGAAACUGCCUGAUGGAGGGGGAUAACUACUGGAAACGGUAGCUAAUACCGCAUAACGUCGCAAGACCAAAGAGGGGUACCUUCGGGCCUCUUGCCAUCGGAUGUGCCCAGAUGGGAUUAGCUAGUAGGUGGGGUAACGGCUCACCUAGGCGACGAUCCCUAGCUGGUCUGAGAGGAUGACCAGCCACACUGGAACUGAGACACGGUCCAGACUCCUACGGGAGGCAGCAGUGGGGAAUAUUGCACAAUGGGCGCAAGCCUGAUGCAGCCAUGCCGCGUGUAUGAAGAAGGCCUUCGGGUUGUAAAGUACUUUCAGCGGGGAGGAAGGGAGUAAAGUUAAUACCUUGGCUCAUUGACGUUACCCGCAGAAGAAGCACCGGCUAACUCCGUG